rnacentral:lncRNA from 1 species
GCGUGGUCGUGGAGUCGCGGGGUCGCGGAAUGGAGAAGUAGCGAGGUCCCAGAGUUGCAAAGUCGCGGGGUCGCUGAGUUGAGGGUUCACGAGGUGCAGGGUCUCGGGGUCGCAGUGUCUCGGGGUCACGGUGUCGCGCGGUUGCGAGGUCGAGGGGUCGUGAGGUCGCGGGGUAGAAGAGUCACGAGGUCUCGAGGUCUUCCUUAUCGCGGGGUCGCAGGCAAGCGAGCAAGAGAGCUGGCGAGCGUUCGCGGGCGCUUUAGGGGUAGCGAGACUAACCUGGUAUGGUUAGCGUUGAGUUGCGACACGGGCGUUGCUGCGACCGGUAG